rnacentral:lncRNA from 1 species
UCGAGAAGUCGAAAAGUUUGGUGUUUUCAGACAUGAUGACUUCAACAAACAAACAAGCACACAAGCAAGCAAGAAACCCGGCAAAGGAAAACGGCAAAAAGGCAAAAGGCAAAAGAAAAAGGCAAAGGAGAAAGGCAAAUUAAAACGGCAAAUGUGAAGUGGGGGAGAGGAAAACGAGAGGCAACAGGCAAAAAAAAAA